AUACUUACCUGGCGUAGGGGUCUACCGUGAUCAACAAGGCGGUUCCCCCAGGACGAGGCCCUUUCAUUGCACUACGAUCGGGCUGACCCCUGCGAUUAUCCCUAAUGUAGAUAACUCGGGCGCAUAAUUUUAUCCAUGCAUUUAUUUUCAAACGAUUAAUGCU